CCACUACAGUGUGAAUCUGAGGUUGAUUGGGUAUGUGUGAGGAUAUAAGCCUUAGGGUGAUGUUUAUCCAAUGUUUAGGUCAGAUUGCGAUGAGAUGGAGUUAGCAUUCAUCAGAUCGGCUUCCAUCUGAUGAGAAGAUCGAUUGUUGUUCGGAGCCGUAGACUUGCUAUUUAUACUUAGACUAGAACUAUAUCUUGUUCCAAGCCACCUCAUCCA
rnacentral:lncRNA from 1 species